rnacentral:rRNA from 1 species
AAUGGCCUACCUAAGACUAUGAUCAAUAGCUGAUUUGAGAGGAUGAUCAGCCACAUUGGGACUGAGACACGGCCCAAACUCCUACGGGAGGCAGCAGUGGGGAAUCUUGCACAAUGGAGGAAACUCUGAUGCAGCGAUGCCGCGUGAGUGAAGAAGGCCUUUGGGUUGUAAAGCUCUUUCGUCGGGGAAGAAAAUGACUGUACCCGAAUAAGAAGGUCCGGCUAACUUCGUGCCAGCAGCCGCGGUAAUACGAAGGGACCUAGCGUAGUUCGGAAUUACUGGGCUUAAAGAGUUCGUAGGUGGUUGAAAAAGUUAGUGGUGAAAUCCCAGAGCUUAACUCUGGAACUGCCAUUAAAACUUUUCAGCUAGAGUAUGAUAGAGGAAAGCAGAAUUUCUAGUGUAGAGGUGAAAUUCGUAGAUAUUAGAAAGAAUACCAAUUGCGAAGGCAGCUUUCUGGAUCAUUACUGACACUGAGGAACGAAAGCAUGGGUAGCGAAGAGGAUUAGAUACCCUCGUAGUCCAUGCCGUAAACGAUGUGUGUUAGACGUUGGAAAUUUAUUUUCAGUGUCGCAGGGAAACCGAUAAACACACCGCCUGGGGAGUACGACCGCAAGGUUAAAACUCAAAUGAAUUGACGGGGACCCGCACAAGUAGUGGAGCAUGUGGUUUAAUUCGAAGAUACGCGCAGAACCUUACCAACACUUGACAUGUUCGUCGCGACUCUAAGAGAUUAGAGUUUUCGGUUCGGCCGGACGAAACACAGGUGCUGCAUGGCUGUCGUCAGCUCGUGUCGUGAGAUGUUGGGUUAAGUCCCGCAACGAGCGCAACCCUCACUUUUAGUUGCCAUCAUUAAGUUGGGCACUCUGAAAGAACUGCCAGUGAUAAGCUGGAGGAAGGUGGGGAU